rnacentral:piRNA from 1 species
UGCUAUUAUUUGCCUAAAUAUUUCCCUGC